AGACGUCUACAUUAGAUACCCGCGUAGUCCCAGCCGUAAACUAUGCGCGUUAGGUGUAUCGGUGACCACGAGUCACCGAGGUGCCGAGGGAAACCGUGAAACGUGCCGCCUGGGAAGUACGGUCGCAAGGCUGAAACUUAAAGGAAUUGGCGGGGAGCACCACAACGGGUGGAGCCUGCGGUUUAAUUGGACUCAACGCCGGGAAGCUCACCGGAUAGGACAGCAGAAUGAUUGCCGGGCUGAAGACCCUGCAUGACUAGCUG
rnacentral:rRNA from 1 species